CCACAAGCGGGAUCAGCAUAUUCGCCUACUCUCCAGGCUUUCGGUUGCAUGAACUUUGACGAUUUCGAAGGGAAACGAAGCGCACGCCCUCCGUAUCGGGGCUCGCCCCACUCCACCGGGAAAACGUGUGUAUGUGCGUUAGGAUUUUCUUCUUGCAAGAGGUCUUUGCUAACUCGACGGGAAAAUUCGGGCAAAUUGGUUUGAUCGAGGAGCGGCCAAUUGUAUUCUACAAGCUAAGGAUGCUGCUGCAGCUCCUAAAAAAUACUGUUCAUGUCAACUAAACAAGGAUCUGUGAGGAAUUAUUUUUUAUAGGAUUAAUGAAUUAUAGAAAUUAAAAAAAAAUGAAGUAUACGUACUAUUUUAUUGCUUUAUCAAUGUUGUUGAUGUCAAUACCUUGUACCGUGUCUUUCUUUACAGUGCCUCAUAACCUAACUGACAUCGAUAUGAUAUAGCUUGUACGGUUAUUAUAAAUCUCUUACAUAUCAGUUAUUAUAAAAUUCUUAUAUACCACAGCCAUAAUGUUAUUUAUUGAAAUAAAAUCACUAAUGCAUCAAUGUAUAA